GCCAUACUUCCCUCCUUAAAACCCUUAGUUUCCCUUCACCUAGAGCAGUUGUCUCCAAAUGUCAUUCAACUCAUACCCUGAAACUGAAAAGCAAUUUUGAGCAUCAUUCCCAAUACAGCAAAUUUUAUAUUAUUGUUCUAAUAUUAGGUCUAAUAUAAAUUACAUCAUAAGAAAAAUUAAAAAAUAAACCGAACAUAAAAAUUACAAUUUUUCUUGCACUCUAGAGUACCGUAUUGAGCACACUCACUUUGUAGACUUCUAUAACUUCUCAUGUUCUCCCCUCCAAAUCCCAUACACAUAUGCCCCUACUUUCUUGCUGAAAUAUAUCACUUAGAAUUUUCUCAACAUACCAAAUUCAUUCUUGACUGUAUCUUUGCACAGGUUGUUGCUUCUGCCUGGAAAUCUUUUUACACUCCCAUUCUCCUGAGUCCUCUUUUUGAGUAACUCAUUCACCCUUCAGGGCUUACUUAAAUUACUAUCCUCAAGGAUACCUUCCUGGCUCCUCCCGGAUAGGGUCAGAUAGUGGGCGCCAUUUAUGUUGCCUAGGGCCUUUACUAGUCUUUUAGCUCCUUGAGGAAAAGGAUCAGGUAUUUCAUUUUUCUGUCAAUCAUUGCCUAGCAUAGUACUCAGCACAUAGUGUAACAUUACUAUUCAGCUGAAAAUAACUUGACCAAAGGUAGUUUGGUGGGCAGCAAGCCAGACCACAUGUCAUUUUGGUUAUGUGGGUGGGUUUGUAAUGUUUUAUGCAUCUUUAAAAAUUGUUGUCCAUCCCCAGCACUGUCCCCCCCCACCCCCCAACCCCCAGGACAGGAUUGCACUUGUUUUACACUAAUUUAUUUUCAUCUAACUUUUUGAAAAAACAUAGAUUAAGCUUAAUUUUAGAGAGAGAGGAAGGAGAGAGAGAAAGAGAAACAUCAAUUUGUUGUUCCACUUAUUUAUGCAUUCAUUGGUUAUUCUUGUAUGUGCCCUGACUAGGGAUCAAACCUGCAGCUUUGCUGUACUGGGGCAAUGCUCUAACCAACUGAGUUAUAUUUUCAUCUAAUUUUAACUGGUCUUCAUUAUUCAUCAUUUCAAAAAUUUGGUAUAAUCUAUAUGUCCAAUAAUUGGUAAAUUGCAAAAGAAUAUGCAUGAUGUUAGAUUGUAGAAAAAUAACAUAAGCUUUAUCUAUGUAUAUUAAAGGCUAGCCAUAACAGGUUUGGCUCAAUGGAUAGAGCAUCAGCCUGCAGACUUAAGGGUCCCAGGUUUGAUUCUGGUCAAGGGCAUGUACCUUGGUUGCGGGCACAUCCCCAGUACGGGGUGUGCAGGAGGCAGCUGAUCGAUGUUUCUCUCUCAUUAAUGUUUCUAACUCUCUAUCCCUCUCCCUUCCUCUCUGUAAAAAAUCAAUAAAAUAUAUUUUUUUAAAAAAAGCCUAAUAAUCAAAGUGUCCCCUUGGGAAUUCAACCAGGCGACAGAGUUCGAUCACUUGCUAUGACAUGCACUGACCACCGGGGGGCGGCACAAAGCAAAGGAAGGCCCCAUCCGUCAGCCAGAAGGCCAGGAUCAGCCCUGAUCACCAGCCCGACCUAGGCACCCUACCCAUGCAGGAAUUUCAUGCACCAGGCCUCUAGUAUAAAAAUAAUCUUAGAAGAUUUAAUCUAAGAGAGGAAGGGAGAAGGAGCGAUAGAAACAUCAACGAUGAAAGAGAAUGAUUGAUGUGCUACCUCCUGCACACCCCCCACUGGGGAUCAAGCCUGCAACCUGGGCGUGUGUCCUUGACUGGAAUUGAACUUGGGACCGGAGAUUCUUCAGUCUGUAGGCCAACGCUCUAACCACUGAUCAAACCAGCUAAGGCAAUAGGAAUUCUUUUGAAAGAGCUAAACUCAGAUUAAGUCUCAGAUUAAGGUACAGUUCAUUUAAUUUGCUAGCCCAAAAUCUGGAUAAAUUAAGCAUAUAUUUCUAAAACUUUAUUUCCAGCUUUAUUUUCUUUUAUUGCUCUCUUGCAGCCAAAUUCUGCUCAUGUUUUCCCUAAAUGUUUCUAACAUUCUCUUGACUUUAUGCACAAGUUAGUGUAACAAAUGCUUCCAAGCACUGUCUAUUGAACUAUGUCCACCUUUCAAAGCUCACCUGAAAUGCUUGCUUCCUUCUCCAUGAAGUCUUUGCUUCUCAUCUCACUCUUACCAUCCAACUACUAGAAACCCCUUCCCUUUAAACCUCCAUAGCACUUUGUAUUUUGUUAAUUGUCUCUAUAGUCCAUAAUAGAGCAGUGAAUUUGCAACAUGUGAUAAUACUUUGUAAACUGUAAAGUAUUAUACAAAUGUAUGAUGUUAUUGUUCUUAUCCUCAGAAAUAGAUUCUAAACUCCUUUAGGGCAGAGACUAAUAUUUUAUUCAACUUUUUGUCCCCAUUGUCUAACAUGUUACCCAGCACAUGGUUAUUUAAUAAAUGUUUGUUAAAUAGCAUAUAGUAAUUCUUUUCUGUUUUCCCUUGUAUUAAUUCUUCUGGGGUGGCCAUGGGUCUUAAAGAAAUGUUUCUUGUCUUUAGUAACCUAUUAUCCAAAAAUUUUGCAAAAGCCUCUGUGCUGUUUCAUAGAAGAAGUUAAAAUAUGGAUCUUCCCAUUGAGUAUGUAAAAUUGUUUACUUCCAGGCAUAAUACUCUUUGAUGAGUAGAUAAUGAGGAAUUUUCCUUGGGUUGGAGCAGUGUACAAAUUUGUGCCUGGCAUAGAUGAGGCACUCAUGGCACUCAUCUAUGGUUAGAGGUAAGGCCUUGUAUUAUGCCCUUAGAACACAAGCAGAGCUACCCAAACUGGAAGUGCAGACACUGGUCCUUGGAGUGGCACAUUUCAGAUACCUGUACUUUGGGAUAGCAGGUCAGAUCUUGUUUUAUGGUGCCACCAGAAGGAUUUUCCCUGUCUUUACAUGUCAUAGAAGGCAAUGAAUUUCAGAUCAUCUAUUCCUUAUGGCAGUUAUGGACAGAUGGUAAGCAUCUUUACAUGUGCUUGUUUGUCAUCCAUCUUUCUCCUUUUGUGGUGUGUCCACCCCUCUCCCAUUUAGAUUGUUUGCCUCCUUAUUAUUGACUGGUUAGAGUUCUUUUGUGCAUUCAGCGUACAAGGAUUUAAUCAGAUAUAGGGUUUGGAAACACUGUUUCCUAGUCUGUGGCUUUUACUUUUCAUAGUAGUAUCUUUCAGAGACCAGAAGUUUAAAAUUUUUAUUGUCUUAUUUAUUAAUGUUGUCUUUUAUGGUUCAUGCUUAUUGUGUCCUAAGAAAUUUGUACCUAAACCAAGGUCACAAAUAUUUUCUCCUGUUUUCUCUUAGGAGUUUUAUACCUUUAGCUCUAACAAUUAGAACUGUUAUCCUUUUGGAGUGAAUUAUUUGUAAAAUGUGUAUGUAUUAAUCUUUAAUAAAAAGUUUUUACAAAA